UGCGGUACGACAGCGGGCCGCACCAAAGGCACGGCUCCAGCCCUCGCCGCCGACACCGCCGCCCCUUCCCCGCGGCGGCGGCUCAGAAAAUCCUUGCCAAAGUGAAGGAAGAUAUACUAAUUCAGGAAACAAUCAGAGGGGAAAACCCUCCACUAAAAGCAUAUUACACCUGAGACUGAAAAUAAAUGGACUUCAAAGCAUGAUGUGGAAAUCAAAAGACCCAUUCAGAAGACGGAAGGUGUGAGUUGUCUUCUCAUCAGCACAGGCACGUCUAUAUGACUUCAAGAAAUGUUGAAUGUCCAGCUGCCAGGCACUAACCUGUAAAGUGAGAAGCACUAAUACAGCUAGAAUGGGAUUAUCAUC